UCAAGUGACUAAGUGCAUGUGGCGGAUGCCUUGGCGAUCACAGGCGAAGAAAGACGCGGCAGCCUGCGAAAAGCUGCGGGGAGCUGGCAAACGAGCAUUGAUCCGCAGAUAUCUGAAUGGGGGAACCCACACCGCAAGGUGUAUCCGUAGCUGAAUACAUAGGUUACGGAGGCGAACGAGGAGAACUGAAACAUCUAAGUAUCCUCAGGAAAAGAAAUCAACCGAGAUUCCGGCAGUAGCGGCGAGCGAACCCGGAGGAGCCCAGCUUUUGAUAGUACGAACUUUAGCCGAAAGGUCCUGGAAAGGCCUGUUAUAGAGGGUGAUAGCCCCGUAGGCGAAAGAGUUCGUAUGGUACUAAGGAAGCGAGAAGUAGAGCGGGACACGUGGAAUCCUGUUCGAAGACGGGGGGACCAUCCUCCAAGGCUAAAUACUCGUGAUCGACCGAUAGUGAACCAGUACCGUGAGGGAAAGGCGAAAAGAACCCCGGGAGGGGAGUGAAAUAGAACCUGAAACCGCAUGCAUACAAACAGUAGGAGCCUCAUCAGAGGUGACUGCGUACCUUUUGCAUAAUGGGUCAGCGACUUACAUUCUGUGGCGAGCUUAACCGAAUAGGGGAGGCGCAGCGAAAGCGAGUUCGAAAUGAGCGUCCAGUCGCAGGGUGUAGACCCGAAACCAGAUGAGCUAUCCAUGGCCAGGUUGAAGGUGUGGUAACACACACUGGAGGACCGAACCGACUAGUGUUGCAAAAUUAGCGGAUGAGCUGUGGAUAGGGGUGAAAGGCCAAACAAAUCUGGAGAUAGCUGGUUCUCCCCGAAAACUAUUGAGGUAGUGCCUCGUGUGUCGCUCCAGGGGGUAGAGCACUGUUUUGGCUAGGGGGACAUGGAGUCUUACCAAACCAAGGCAAACUCCGAAUACCUGGAAGCGUGAGCACGGGAGACAGAGCACCGGGUGCUAACGUCCGGACUCAAAAGGGAAACAACCCAGACCGCCGGCUAAGGUCCCAAAUAACAGCUAAGUGGAAAACGAAGUGGAAAGGCCGUGACAACCAGGAAGUUGGCUUAGAAGCAGCCAUCCUUCAAAGAAAGCGUAAUAGCUCACUGGUCGAGUCCUUCUGCGCGGAAGAUGUAACGGGGCUAAGCUGUUAACCGAAGCCGCGGAUGCACUGGUAAUCCAGUGCGUGGUAGGGGAGCGUUCUGUAAGUCUGCGAAGGCGGUUCGAGAGGACUGCUGGAGAUAUCAGAAGUGCGAAUGCUGACAUGAGUAACGUUAAAGCAGGUGAAAAGCCUGCUCGCCGUAAGCCCAAGGAUUCCUGCUCUACGUUCAUCGGAGCAGGGUGAGUCGGCUCCUAAGGUCAGGCCGAAAGGCGUAGCCGAUGGGAAUCAGGUUAAUAUUCCUGAACCUGCGUCAGAUGCGAUGGGGGGACGGAGCAUGAAAGAUCAUCCGGGUGUUGGAAGUCCCGGUUGACGAGCGUAGGAGGUCUGCAGGCAAAUCCGCAGACAAUUCUCCAAGGCAAAGACACGUGCCGCCACGGCGGCGAAGUGAUCGGAAGUGCUUCCAAGAAAAGCCUCUAAGCCCCAGUCUGACGCGGACCGUACCGCAAACCGACACUGGUGGGCGAGCUGAAUAUGCUCAGGCGCUUGAGAGAACUCGGGAGAAGGAACUCGGCAAAUUGACACCGUAACUUCGGAAGAAGGUGUGCCGUAGUAGCGUGAGAGGAGAGACUCCUCGAGCGUGAAUCGGUCUCAGAGAAUAGGUGGCUGCGACUGUUUAUUAAAAACACAGCACUCUGCAAAGUCGAAAGACGACGUAUAGGGUGUGAUGCCUGCCCGGUGCUGGAAGAUUAAUUGAUGGGGUGAGAGCCCUUGAUCGAAGUCCCAGUAAACGGCGGCCGUAACUAUAACGGUCCUAAGGUAGCGAAAUUCCUUGUC
rnacentral:rRNA from 1 species